AUUGUCCAGGUGUCUACUUGCCACAUACCCAUGUGCCACCCAAAAGAAUAAGGCACUUAACAUCCCCAUCAGGUGACCUUUAAUGGGGAAUGGAAACCAGUGAGGAAGUGAUUUCCCCUAUCAAUGGUUAGGUGGAUAAUUCUAAGAGACAUUCUAUUUGCUCUUCAGAAUGGAUUCAUUUAAAGUUUUCACAAUAGCUAUGUCCAGGCAUUUGGGCUUAUAGGAAGAAAGCAUAAAAGAGGACACUUUUUUCCCAAUUUUUUUUAAAAACCUAUAGUGUACGAUAGUGGACAGUGUAGAAUAGUUUAUAAAUUAAGUUAAUAAGUCUUGAUAAAUUUAUUUUUGUUAUUAUUGGUAUAAAUAGUUGAUGAAUUUCAAAACAAAACAAAACUUUACAGUUGUCACUAUAAGUUAUAUUCUAAUCUUGUCCUACAUUAUUAAUCAUGUAGAGCAGUGAUAUCCAACCUUUCUGGCACCCAGAGACCACCGGACCUCCUUUUCUACAAUCAAGCCAAACCAGUUCCUGUUGUUGGUGCCAAGAUAGACUACAGCUGGAAAUUCCCCAAAUGACCAACAGAUCACCUGGUGCCAACUGACUGACCACCAGGAAGAGCGACUAUUGACUUUGGGCUUAAAAGUCAUCUAAUCCACACUGUUUCUCACUCCCCUGACUACCCUCCUCU
rnacentral:lncRNA from 10 species